rnacentral:rRNA from 1 species
UAACGGCGAGUGAACCGGGAAGAGCUCAAAUUUGAAAUCUGGCGUGCUCAGUGCGUCCGAGUUGUAAUCUAUAGAGGCGUUUUCCGUGCCGGACUGUGUCUAAGUCCCUUGGAACAGGGUAUCAAAGAGGGUGAUAAUCCCGUACUUGACACAAUGACCGGUGCUCUGUGAUACGUCUUCUACGAGUCGAGUUGUUUGGGAAUGCAGCUCAAAAUGGGUGGUGAGUUCCAUCUAAAGCUAAAUAUUGGCGAGAGACCGAUAGCGAACAAGUACCGUGAGGGAAAGAUGAAAAGCACUUUGGAAAGAGAGUUAAACAGUACGUGAAAUUGUUGAAAGGGAAACGAUUGAAGUCAGUCGUGACUGAGAGGCUCAGCCGGUUCUGCCGGUGUAUUCCCCUCAGUCGGGUCAACAUCAGUUUUGUUCGGUGGAUAAGGGCAGCUGGAAGGUGGCACCUCCGGGUGUGUUAUAGCCAGCUGUCGCAUACAUCGAAUGAGACUGAGGAAUGCAGCUCGCCUUUAUGGCCGGGGUUCGCCCACGUCCGAGCUUAGGAUGUU